GCCCCAGAGAGACCCCAGGGGGGUUUGGGGGACCCCAGGGGGGGCCGUGCUGACGCGGAUCCCCCCCAGAUCAUCACGUCGGAGGAGGCGGAGCGGCGGGGGCAGGUGUACGACCGGCAGGGCGCCACGUACCUCUUCGACCUGGACUAUGUGGAGGACGUCUACACCGUGGACGCCGCGCACUACGGCAAUAUCUCCCACUUCGUUAACCACAGCGUGCGUAACGAGACGCUAAUUAACCCCCCCCCCCGACAGCUAACGAACCCCGCUAAUGGCUAACUGCCCCCCGCCGGGGCUAAUUGCCCCACUGGUGGCCCCCUGCUAAUGGCUAACUGCCCCCAGCUGACAGCUGAAAUUGCCCCUGGGCCGAUCGCUAAUUGCCCCUGAGUAAUUGCUAAUUACCCUGGCCAAGGGCUAAUUGGCCUGGGCUGAUAGCUAAUUGCCCCUGACCAAUUGCUAAUUACUCUAGGCUAAUGGCUAAUUACCCCUGGCUGUUCACUAAUCACCCCCUAAUUAAGGCCCCACUCACAAAUGACCCAUUCCCCCCCCUUUCACCUCCGAGUCAGUGGGCGGGGCUCCCCAGCUGUCAAUCACAUGCAGUAGGCGGGGCAGGGGGCGUGUCCCCGUCUGACCCCGCCCUCUCCCCCCCCAGUGCGACCCCAACCUGCAGGUGUACAACGUCUUCAUCGAGAACCUGGACGAGCGCCUGCCGCGCAUCGCCCUGUUCGCCACGCGCCCCAUCCGCGCCGGCGAGGAGCUCACCUUCGACUACAACAUGCACGUGGACCCGGUGGACGCCGAGAGCACCCGCAUGGACUCCAACUUCGGGCUGGCGGGGGGGGGCCUGGGGGGCUCCCCCCGCUCCCGGGGCCGCAUCGAGUGCAAGUGCGGGGCCGCCGCGUGCCGCAAGUACCUUUUCUGACCCAAAACCCACAGCGGGGGUGCAAAACAAGGCUUGUUGAACGCAGCUGGGGGGUCCGUGCCUUGCCGGGGAGGGGGGGGGGGGGGGGGGUUUCAGGCGUGCUGGCGGCGCCAGACGAUGACGGUGCCGGUGGCGUCGCUGGAGGCCAGCAGGCUCUCGUCGCAGUUGAAGGCCACGGCCAGCACGGCGCCGCCGUGGCCCUGCAGGGUGUUGACCGUGGCCCGGGCCGAGCGCCCCACGUCGAAGAAAUGCACGCAGGCGUCCUCGCUGCCCGUCACUGA
rnacentral:lncRNA from 1 species